CUCAACUGUAAAAUUGCCUUUGAAACUGGUUAUCUUGAGUUAUUAUGAAGUAGUUAGAAUAUGUAGUGUAGCGGUGAAAUGCAUAGAUAUUACAUAGAAUACCAAUUGCGAAGGCAGAUUACUAAUAAUCAACUGACACUGAUGGACGAAAGCGUGGGUAGCGAACAGGAUUAGAUACCCUGGUAGUCCACGCCGUAAACGAUGGUUACUAGCUGUUUGGACUUCGGUCUGAGUGGCUAAGCGAAAGUGAUAAGUAACCCACCUGGGGAGUACGUUCGCAAGAAUGAAACUCAAAGGAAUUGACGGGGGCCCGCACAAGCGGUGGAGCAUGUGGUUUAAUUCGAUGA
rnacentral:rRNA from 1 species